rnacentral:rRNA from 1 species
GACAGAGGGUGCAAACGUUGCUCGGAAUUACUGGGCGUAAAGCGCGUGUAGGCGGGCUGGAAAGUCGGGCGUGAAAUCCCCAGGCUCAACCUGGGAACUGCACUCGAAACUCCCAGUCUAGAGUGGUGGAGAGGGAAGUGGAAUUCCUGGUGUAGAGGUGAAAUUCGUAGAUAUCAGGAGGAACACCAGUGGCGAAGGCGGCAUCCUGGACCAACACUGACACUGAGGAGCGAAAGCCAGGGGAGCAAACGGG